ACUUAUAUAUUUUUUAAUAUUUCUAAAAUAUCUUAUUUAUUUUUUAAAAUAUAUUCCUUAUAUAUUUCUCUGUUAUUGAAAAAUAUCACUGGCAUAUUAGGACCCGUUAAGUCAUUUUGGAUUAAAUCUGGACUAAAUUUCUAGAAGAGUUAAGAAAAAGUCAAAUACCUCUUUUGCCCCUAAUGUAAGGGUAAAUAAGAAAAAUUGGUGACGGUAAAAAAAUAUAUUAGAAAAGAAAGAGUCAAAAUACUUCUUUUUGCUUCUAACUUAGAACCAAAUAAGAAUUUUUUUUUUUAUUGAGAGAUAGCGAGAUAGGUAGCACGCUACUCGCUUCGUUUGUUUCAUUUAGAAAUAAACUUAACUGGAAAUGUGAAUCAACUAGGAUUUGAACUUGGGACCUCCGAUACCAACCACCAAGCCUUUUGCUACUUGCUCUAGGGGUGGUCAGUCCAAAUAAGAAAAGUUGAUUAAGGUAGAAGGAUAUGUUUGAAAUGGCAAAAUAAAAAUUUCGUAUAGAUAACGAUUGUUCCUGACUCUAGGGUUAUAUUUGAAAGAAUGCGGAAGGUUAAGAAACUAUUUUAUUCUUUCUAAUGAACUAUUUAUGAUUUUUGUCAAGCAUAAAAAUAAAAAUACUAACUAAUUCAUGAUAAUUUAGCAUUCCUCUAACCUAGAAAUCUAUAAUGAUUUCAUUACUUCACAAACACGUUUUACAACUAUCCACCGAGUUGAAUGAUAAUAAUUUGAAUAUUUUCAAUACAAAGUACAAAGGAUUGUUGGAAUAUUGCAAACCGUAAAUUAAACGGGUUGUAGAGUGCGUUUGGUUCGUGCUAUUGUGUUAGGAUUAUUAGAAAUUUUAUAAGAAUAUUUAAAAUUACUGUAUUUGAUUCAUGCGGCAUGUAAUUCUAUUAGUAAUAUAAGAU
rnacentral:lncRNA from 1 species